rnacentral:rRNA from 1 species
UCAGAAUGAACGCUGNCGGCGUGCUUAACACAUGCAAGUCGCACGAGANCUCUUCUGCUGCAGAAGAUAGUANAGUGGCGCACGGGUGAGUAACGCGUGGGUAAUCUACCUCCGAAUCGGGGAUAACCCGCCGAAAGGCGAGCUAAUACCGGAUAAUAUCUUUAAAACUUCGGUUUUUAAGAUCAAAGGUGGUCUCUACAUGUAAGCUACUGUUUGGAGAUGAGCCCGCGUACCAUUAGCUUGUUGGUAGGGUAAUGGCCUACCAAGGCCGCGAUGGUUAGCUGGUCUGAGAGGAUGAUCAGCCACACUGGAACUGACACACGGUCCAGACUCCUACGGGAGGCAGCAGUGAGGAAUUUUGCGCAAUGGGGGAAACCCUGACGCAGCAACGCCGCGUGAGUGAUGAAGGCUUUCGGGUCGUAAAGCUCUGUCAAGUGGGAAGAACCUGCUCGAUGCUAAUACCAUCAAGCACUGACGGUACCACUGAAGGAAGCACCGGCUAACUCCGUGCCAGCAGCCGCGGUAAUACGGGGGGUGCAAGCGUUAUUCGGAAUUAUUGGGCGUAAAGGGCGCGUAGGCGGUCUCUAAAGUCAGAUGUGAAAGCCCGGGGCUUAACCCCGGAAGUGCAUUUGAAACGUAGGGACUUGAGUAUGGGAGAGGGAAGUGGA